GGAUGCGAUCAUACCAGCACUAAUGCACCGGAUCCCAUCAGAACUCCGAAGUUAAGCGUGGCUUGGGCGAGAGUAGUACUAGGAUGGGUGACCCCCUGGGAAGUCCUCGUGUUGCAUCCC
rnacentral:rRNA from 1 species